CUUGACCGUGCCAAGUAGCAUAAUCAAUUGUCUUUUAAUUGAAGGCUUGUAUGAAUGGUUGAAUAAGAUAUUAACUAUUUUUAUUUUAUAAUUUGAAUUUUAAUUUUUAGUGAAAAUGCUAAAAUAAUUAAGUUAGACGAGAAGACCCUAUAAAUCUUUAUUAUUAAUAAAUUUUAUUUUUUUUUAUAAGAAUAUAUAAAAUUUAUAAUAAUUUAAUUGGGGUGAUUAUAAAAUUUUAUAAACUUUUAUUUUUUGUUAAAUAAUUAUAGUUAUAUUUAGUGAUCCAUUAAUAAUGAUUACAAAUUUAAGUUACUUUAGGGAUAACAGCGUAAUUAUUUUAGAAAGUUCUUAUUAAUAAAAUAGAUUGCGACCUCGAUGUUGAAUUAAGAUAAAAAUUAGGAGCG
rnacentral:rRNA from 1 species